GCUGGGUGUGGUGAUGCACACCUGUAGUCCCAGCUACUCAGGAGGCUGAGUUGGGAGGAUCCCUUGAGCUCAGGAGUUGGAGGCUACGGUGAGCCAUGAUGACACCACUACACUCCAGCCUGGGCGACAAAGUGAAAUCCUGUCUCUA
ensembl:misc_RNA Metazoa_SRP Metazoan signal recognition particle RNA